rnacentral:rRNA from 1 species
AACGGCCAUACCAUGCUAAUCAACUGGUUCUCGUUAUUCACCGAAGUCAAGCAUCAUUGGGCACGGUCAGUACUUGGGUGGGUGACCACCUGGGAACACCGCGUGCUGUUG